rnacentral:ncRNA from 1 species
UCUUAUCAAGAGUGGUGGAGGGACUGGCCCAAUGAAACCCGGCAACCACCCGUCUACGUACGGGCAAGGUGCCAAUUCCUGCAGAACCGUGGAGGUUCUGAGAGAUAAGG